rnacentral:rRNA from 1 species
UAAUACAUAGGUAACCUACCCUUAAGACGAGGAUAGCCAUUGGAAACGAUGGAUAAAACUGGAUAGGAUAUAGAGGAAGAAUCUUUUAUAUUUAAAAGAGAGAUCUGCUUAAGGAGGGGCCUGUGGCGCAUUAGCUAGUUGGUGGGGUAAGGGCCUACCAAGGCGAUGAUGCGUAGCCGGACUGAGAGGUUGAACGGCCACAAUGGAACUGAGAACGGUCCAUACUCCUACGGGAGGCAGCAGUAGGGAAUUUUCGGCAAUGGGGGGAACCCUGACCGAGCAACGCCGCGUGAACGAAGAAGUUAUUCGUAAUGUAAAGUUCUUUUAUCAGGGAAGAAAGAGGAAUUUGACGGUACCUGAGGAAUAAGCUCCGGCUAACUACGUGCCAGCAGCCGCGGUAAUACGUAGGGAGCGAGCGUUAUCCGGAAUUAUUGGGCGUAAAGGGUGCGUAGAUGGCAUAGUAAGUCUUUUGUAAAAAUGCUGGGCUCAACCCAGUAGGGCAAAAGAUACUGCAAAGCUAGAGUAUGACAGAGGCAAGUGGAACUACAUGUGUAGCGGUAAAAUGCGUAAAUAUAUGUAAGAACACCAGUGGCGAAGGCGGCUUGCUGGGUCGAUACUGACAUUGAGGCACGAAAGCG